CCCAAUGGGGUCACGAAAAGUUGUAUAUGACUGAAACAACUCAUCGUCAACAACAAAAUUCCUUUCAGCUUGAGAUCCUUGGAAGAAAUCUUUGAGAAGAGACUAUCCCAUGUCAAUAGUCCCAGGUGAAGACCCCAGGAGAAUAGCCUUUCAUGCUGUAUUUCUUCACUCUGGACAUCUGAUUAAUUUGGGGCAGCAAUGGAGUCAAGAGACGAUGCUCUUUACUUUGUACAUAUUGUUCUCAUCUGAAGCAGACACUGUGGAGAGCUUAGAACCUGGUCAGAUAUUGAAGAUACCAAGGUCAUCCGCUGUAUCCCAGGCCAAGGCCAGUUGUCUUGACUUUUGUCUUGCCACUGGACUUUGAUGACUCCGGAAGAGAGAGUGAGGCUGACAACUGAGCAACUGCCUCACUUAAAUCCAAUUUACAAGCAAGUCAAGAAAUCAUCUCAUGAUGUCAUUGGUCCUCUUUAAAACAAAGGACAAAUAACAACUACCCAGUCCUUAUUCAUAGUAGUGCUUGGGUGAAUUAGGGAGUAAAGUCCAAAAUCCUGAUAUGGAAUCUGGUCUCCACGUAGUUCUGUGGAAAGGGCACUGAACUUGAAGUCAUGGGAUCUGAAUUAAAAUCCUCACUCUAAUACUACCUGAGUGAUCUUGGAUAAAUCACUUAACCUCUCCAAGCGUCAAUUUCUUUAUCUGGAAAAUGAUGGAAUGAACAACUGAUGACCUCUAACAUUGCUCCAAUCUUCCAAGCUCUUGUGUAGUUAAGGCAUUAGCUUGCAUUAUUGCCACAAAGCAAAACCCUACAAGGUUAGGUCAUUUAAUAGAUCCCUUAUUGGACACUGCUAUCCCCUUCCUCAGCCCUGGAAGUGCCCUCCAGACAGAGGUCUGAUUCCCCCUUAUGGUAGUCCAAACUUGAAGUCCCUUUGGCUUGUGAUAGCAACUACCAUUUGCAGAGGUAGAUACUACCACUACCUCUAAAGUUUGGUCAACCCAGUGACUUUGAGUCCUUUGUAUAGUUACUUGCUACGUAUCUCAGCUACUAAACUAUAGACUACUGUAAGACAAAGCAUACUUGAUUUCCCAUUGUUUCCCAGACACACAAAUGCUUGAUGGGAUUUAUAGCUGGGUAGCACCUUAGGGAUCAUCUAUUCUGAAUGACCUCAUUUUAUAAGUGAGAGAAGGGAAGCACAGAGGAGUUAUGUCUUUCUGAAGAUCACACAUGUAGCAAUCAUUUUGGAUUUCUUUCAUUUCUCCACCAUCCCUGCCCCCAACACCUCAAACACACUCACACUUCAUGCCAAGUAUCUCCUUUUUCCUUUCUUGCCCCACUGUUGUUCAGUUUUGUGUGUGUGUGUGUGUUGUCU
rnacentral:lncRNA from 1 species